rnacentral:tRNA from 1 species
UGGGCGGUCGCCAAGCGGUAAGGCACCGGUUUUUGGUACCGGCAUUCGAAGGUUCGAAUCCUUCUCGCCCAGCCA